UACGUAGGGUGCAAGCGUUAUCCGGAAUCACUGGGCGUAAAGCGUCCGCAGCCGGCUCGUUAAGUGAGAUGUUAAAUCGUGUGGCUCAACCAUAUCGAUGCAUUUCAUACUGGCGGGCUAGAGGAAAUCAGAGGCAAGUGGAAUUGGUAGUGUAGCAGUGAAAUGCGUAGAUAUUACCAGGAACACCAAUGGCGAAGGCAGCUUGCUGGGAUUUUUCUGACGGUCAGGGACGAAAGCGUGGGGAGCGAACAGG
rnacentral:rRNA from 1 species